rnacentral:rRNA from 1 species
GACAUCGUUUAGGGCGUGGACUACCAGGGUAUCUAAUCCUGUUUGCUCCCCACGCUUUCGUGCAUGAGCGUCAGUAUUGGCCCAGGGGGCUGCCUUCGCCAUCGGUAUUCCUCCACAUCUCUACGCAUUUCACUGCUACACGUGGAAUUCUACCCCCCUCUGCCAUACUCUAGCCCGCCAGUCACAAAUGCAGUUCCCAGGUUAAGCCCGGGGAUUUCACAUCUGUCUUAACGAACCGCCUGCGCACGCUUUACGCCCAGUAAUUCCGAUUAACGCUUGCACCCUACGUAUUACCGCGGCUGCUGGCACGUAGUUAGCCGGUGCUUAUUCUUCCGGUACCGUCAUCCUCCCGCCGUAUUAGGACAGAAGUUUUCUUUCCGGACAAAAGUGCUUUACAACCCGAAGGCCUUCUUCACACACGCGGCAUUGCUGGAUCAGGCUUUCGCCCAUUGUCCAAAAU